rnacentral:rRNA from 1 species
UUCUUUUGAGAGAUUAGUUGGUUGUUUCUUGCCUUUAUUUAUGGAAAAUUGAUAUUUUAAGUAAAAAAUUGUCUUUUGGGUGGGUAAGUAAUAUAAUAAAAAUUCACUAUUAUUAGGUUAUAGUUUAGUUUGUACUGUGUAGGAUAGCUAGUUUAGUCAAUGUAAAGAAAAUUUUAAGUAUUGUACCUUUUGUAUCAGGGAUGAUCAAAGUAUUUAGUUUAUUAAUUAUAGUCUCGAAGUGAAAUGAGCGAGUAAACUACGGUUGUUUAUGUAGAACAAUGAAACUAUUAAUAGUUUGCUAGUGAUGAGAUGUCAGUCGACUUUUAUAUAUCUAGUUUUUCUUGAAAAAAAUUUAAUUUUAUCUUUUACCGAAAAAGGUAAAGGCUUUACCGCAAGGGGGAAGAGCUCCUUGGGGAUUCAUGGGUAUAACGGAUAAAUCAUAUUUUCUUUUUUUUAGGCUUAAGAUCAGUCAUUUUUCUAAAUCGUUCUAGAUAAUAAGGGUUUAAAGAUUAAUUUGUAUUUCGUUUGCUUUCAGUAGGGAAAAUUUAAUUUUAGCUUGUUUAUAUUAUAUUAUAAUGUUUGUAUUAGUAAAUUGUGUUAUGUGAACUAGUUAUUUAAAUUUUAUAAAAAAAUUUUAUAGUUCAGUUAAGCAAAGUUGAAGAAUUCGGCAAAUUUUGCUUCUGCCUGUUUAUCAAAAACAUGUCUGCACGGGUGGAUUGAUGUGCAGUCUGGCCUGCCCCCUGAA